rnacentral:rRNA from 1 species
CGCGCAGGUGGUUUCUUAAGUCUGAUGUGAAAGCCCACGGCUCAACCGUGGAGGGUCAUUGGAAACUGGGAGACUUGAGUGCAGAAGAGGAUAGUGGAAUUCCAAGUGUAGCGGUGAAAUGCGUAGAGAUUUGGAGGAACACCAGUGGCGAAGGCGACUGUCUGGUCUGUAACUGACACUGAGGCGAAAAGCGUAGGGAGGCAAACA